rnacentral:rRNA from 1 species
GACGAACGCUGGCGGCGUGCUUAACACAUGCAAGUCGAGCGGAGCGGCGAACGGGUGAGUAACGCGAGAGUAACUGACCCCCUCUCUGGGAUUACAGUUGGAAACGGCUGCUAAUACCGGUUAGUGGGGGAUGACUUGCGUUCUUUCAGCUUGAUGGUGUGGUAGUGGCCUACCAAGGCGACGACGGGUACCCGACCUGAGAGGGCGACAGGCCGCAUGGGACUGAGAUACGGGCCAAACUCCUACGGGAGGCAGCAGUGGGGAAUAUUACACAAUGAGGGAAGCCCUGAUGCGGCAACGCCACGUGCGGGAUGUCGGCCUUCGGAUUGUAAACCGAUUGCGGCCAUGACGCGGUAGUGGGAGAAGAAGCACCGGCUAACUACGUGCCAGCAGCCGCGGUAAUUC